GGGGGCGACCGGUAUCGACGAUGUAUGAGAAAUGUCGAAUUGCAUGCAGAGGAUGAUAGUCACCUCUUUAAUCAACUGUCAUACCUAUAAAUGCCGAUAACGGCUACAUGGCUGCAGCUUAAGUCUAGCAGUCCGUUCCAGUUUAGAUGCGUCUAUGGUCCGAACUAGGAACGUCAUUCACAUAGACUAGUCUUAAAUAUGCCUACAUAUUUAAGAUAAAAAUUGAGUGGGCUAGUUAGGCCUCGUUUUUGUCUCUGAUACGAGUCCAAAUGAAAUAAUAAUCGGAAGACUAAGCAUGUAGAUGUCCUUCAUCACUCUACUUCGGACGGGAGUUCGAUUCUCCCCGCCUCCACAA
rfam:Candidatus Marinimicrobia bacterium TMED46 104775, whole genome shotgun sequence.